rnacentral:rRNA from 1 species
UGAUCCUACGGGACGCAGCAGUGGGGGAUAUUGGACAAUGGGGGGAACCCUGAUCCAGCGACGCCGCGUGAGUGAGGAAGUAUUUCGGUAUGUAAAGCUCUGUCAGCAGGGAAGAAAGAAAUGACGGUACCUGACCAAGAAGCCCCGGCUAACUACGUGCCAGCAGCCGCGGUAAUACGUAGGGGGCAAGCGUUAUCCGGAAUUACUGGGUGUAAAGGGAGCGUAGACGGUGAUGCAAGUCUGGAGUGAAAGGCGGGGGCCCAACCCCCGGACUGCUCUGGAAACUGUGUAACUUGCGUGGAGGG